GCGGACGUAGCUCAGUUGGUAGAGCAUCAGCUUCCCAAGCUGAGGGUCGCGGGUUCGAUCCCCGUCGUCCGCUCUA
rnacentral:tRNA from 1 species